AUCUUGCGAUGUUGCGCCUCUGGGUUUAGAAACUCUGUAAUUUGGUCUAUAAAAGAGGGUGUCAGACGCCAGUCUACAUCUUGGUAGAGAUUCAUCUCAUACUUUCUGGCAUAUCAUUGGCUUCUAUUUUGAACUAUUUUGUUCUAUUGUGAACAUCUACUUGUGAUUUUUGUUUGGUUGACAUCCAUCGGCAAACUUCGUUGACUUAAGAAAGUCAGAGACCUACAAGAUCAACAAGAGAAUGGGUGGAGAUGCAUCAAAAGAGCGAGCGGAUCAGGCAGAGAGAGACCGCGAUCAAGCCAAAACUGAUAAACAGAAAGCGGAGGAGGAAAGGAAAAAGACAGAAGAGGAUUACAGGCAGCUCUAUGCUGAGAAAGUGAGAAUGGAAACAGAACAAAAGAUGGAAGAAAAACAAAGACAGGAGCGCGAGAACCAAAGACAAAAAUUUAUGGAACACAAUAGACAGCGAGAGAAAGAUGAAAGAACAAGAAUUCAGCUGGAAAAAGAGAUUGUAAAAGGAGAUCAGAAAACUGCAUAAAAUGUAUCCACAUAUUAAGAGACAAAGGCAUAAACGGUUAAAUGAUCCACAUAAUGAAUUAUUGAACAAAGCACACAAUCAUUGUAUACCUUUUAAUAUCCACAAAAACAAUGUCUGUCAAUAUCUGAGAAUCCUCUGUAGCUUUGCAAUAAAUAGAUUCUAUUGAUG